GGAGGCAGCAGUGGGGAAUAUUGGACAAUGGCGAAAGCCUGAUCCAGCAAUACCGCGUGUGUGAAGAAGGCCUUCGGGUUGUAAAGCACUUUCAGUUGUGAGGAAAAGUUAGUAGUUAAUACCUGCUAGCCGUGACGUUAACAACAGAAGAAGCACCGGCUAACUCCGUGCCAGCAGCCGCGGUAAUACGGAGGGUGCGAGCGUUAAUCGGAAUUACUGGGCGUAAAGCGCACGCAGGCGGUUUGUUAAGCUAGAUGUGAAAGCCCCGGGCUCAACCUGGGAUGGUCAUUUAGAACUGGCAGACUAGAGUCUUGGAGAGGGGAGUGGAAUUCCAGGUGUAGCGGUGAAAUGCGUAGAGAUCUGGAGGAAUACCGGUGGCGAAGGCGGCCCCCUGGACAAAGACUGACGCUCAUGCACGAUAGCGUGGGAGCAAACAGGAUUAGAUACCCUGGUAG
rnacentral:rRNA from 1 species